rnacentral:pre_miRNA from 12 species
UGGAGCGGGGGGGCAGGAGGGGCUCAGGGAGGAAGCCUGUAUAGCCCCUGGCCCUCUCUGCCCUUCCGUCCCAGUUCCCACCCA